rnacentral:tRNA from 1 species
AGGGGUGUGGCGCAACUGGUAGCGUACCGGUCUCCAAAACCGGUGGUUGCAGGUUCAAAUCCUGUCGCCCCUGCGA